CCUUAGUAACGGCGAGUGAAGCGGCAACAGCUCAAAUUUGAAAUCUGGCCCCAGGCCCGAGUUGUAAUUUGCAGAGGAUGCUUUUGGCGCGGUGCCUUCCGAGUUCCCUGGAACGGGACGCCAUAGAGGGUGAGAGCCCCGUCUGGUUGGAUACCAAGCCUUUGUAAAGCUCCUUCGACGAGUCGAGUAGUUUGGGAAUGCUGCUCUAAAUGGGAGGUAUAUGUCUUCUAAAGCUAAAUACCGGCCAGAGACCGAUAGCGCACAAGUAGAGUGAUCGAAAGAUGAAAAGCACUUUGGAAAGAGAGUUAAACAGCACGUGAAAUUGUUAAAAGGGAAGCGUUUAUGACCAGACUUGGGCCGGUUAAUCAUCCAGCGUUCUCGCUGGUGCACUUUGCCGGUCCAGGCCAGCAUCAGUUCGCUGCGGGGGAUAAAGGCGUCGGGAAUGUGGCUCCUCUGGAGUGUUAUAGCCCUUCGCGCAAUACCCUGCGGUGGACUGAGGUUCGCGCAUCUGCAAGGAUGCUGGCGUAAUGGUCAUCAACGACCCGUCUUGA
rnacentral:rRNA from 1 species